rnacentral:rRNA from 1 species
CCGAGAAUAUUCGACAAUGGGCGAAAGCCUGAUCGAGCGACGCCGCGUGGAAGAUGAAGUCCUUCGGGAUGUAAAUUCCUUUUGUAGUCCAGAAAGUUUAUUGAUCGGACUAAGAAUAAGAGGUUGCUAAACUCGUGCCAGCAGCAGCGGUAAUACGAGUGCCUCGAGCGUUAUCCGGAAUUAUUGGGCGUAAAGGGUGUGUAGGCGGUUAUGUUAGUCUCCUGUCAAAUUCUUCGGCUUAACCGGGGGUCCGCAGGGGAAACGGCAUAACUUGAGGAUGCGAGAGGUCUAUGGAACUCAUAGUGUAGGGGUGAAAUCCGUUGAUAUUAUGGGGAACACCAAAAGCGAAGGCAAUAGACUGGCGCACUCCUGACGCUGAAACACGAAAGCGUGGGUAGCGAAUGGGAUUAGAUACCCCCGUAGUCC